GACGAACCGUGCGAACGUUAUUCGGAAUCACUGGGCUUAAAGCGCGUGUAGGCGGAUGGGGACGUCGGUUGCUGAAAUCCCCCGGCUCAACCGGGGAACGGGCACCGAAACGCCCCGUCUGGAGGGACGUAGGGGGACCUGGAACUUCCGGUGGAGCGGUGGAAAUGCGUUGAGAUCGGAAGGAACGCCCGUGGCGAAAGCGAGGUC
rnacentral:rRNA from 1 species